rnacentral:rRNA from 1 species
GGUUGAUCCUGCCAGUAGUCAUAUGCUUGUCUCAAAGAUUAAGCCAUGCAUGUCUAAGUAUAAACAAUUGUAUACAGUGAAACUGCGAAUGGCUCAUUAAAUCAGUUAUAGUUUAUUUGAUAAUACCUUACUACUUGGAUAUCCGUGGUAAUUCUAGAGCUAAUACAUGCACUAAAAACCUGUACCUUCCGGUCAGGUUGUAUUUAUUAGAUAAAAAACCAACGCCAGCAAUGGCUUUAUUGGUGAUUCAUAAUAACUUUUCGAAUCGUAUGACCUUGCGUCGACGAUGGAU